rnacentral:lncRNA from 1 species
AACAUGAGCCCGCUAGACUAUUGAAAUGACCUGUUCUCUUGCAGUCCGGGAGCCAGCACCAUGAUCAAGUGGAUUAGACACAGAGUGAGGGGGCACGAAGCAGAGCAAAGAAAGGACAGAACAGUGCUAGGGGAUGGUUCUUUCUCUACCACAUGGUGGCUACGGUGGGCAUUCCUCGUCUAUAGCAUGUGCUGGAGAAGAUUGCAUCGGAGAAAAAAAUGUGCUGCUCCCUGGCUCCUGUCAGAGAUCCUAGUAUGAACUAUCACAAACUGAACGGAGAAAGAGAGCACUGCUGGGUCCUCUACCUCAAAGGCACAGGCAUAGGGUUCUUGCCAUGUCUGGUGAGGGAUGGGAACAUAUGGCUCCAGUGGCUCAGACAUGACUCCGUGGGGAGUGGUGUGCCAGGAAAAGGGCAUGUCCACAGAAGGACUAGCAGUCAAAGAGCCGUUCGCUCUGUGUUUCCCAGCCCUCUGUCCGCUCCUACAGUAACAACCCACUCUCAUAACUGAUGUUUGAUAGGAUGCCUUUUUCAAGUGCCCCAGGCAACUAGCCAGUCCUUCCUCCAUGCUUCCGAUCAAGGUAUACCUCUUCUACUACAGAGCUUACAACAAUGCAUUACAUGGGGCACCUGGGUGGUGCAGUCCUUACGCGUCUGCCUUUGGCUCAGGGCGUGAUCCCUGUGUUCUGGGAUCGAGUCCCACAUCAGGCUUCCCCACUGGGAGCCUGCUUCUUCCUCUCCCACUCCCCCUGCUUGUGUUCUCUCUCUCGCUGGCUGUCUCUGUCACAUAAAUAAAUAAAAUCUUUAAAAAAACA